CUCUGCUGAGGUUGGCGGCCGUGGCCACCUUCUGGACGAUGGCGUGCUCGUUACGGCACUUCUCGUCUAAAGUGAGCUUCUCCGUGAUCUCGUUCAUGCCCAUCAGCUGACCUGGAGGAGGACGAGGAAGCAGUGGAGUAGACGGCCAUCAAUGAACGCUGAUCACCAAAGGUUUUAGGCCCCACCACAGCGCUGAAACAGUUCUGAUCAAGGUGACAAAUUAUAUCGCCCUGAACACAGACGCAGGAAAGUCUCAGUCUUGGUUCCGCUGGACCUGAGCCGCUGCCUUGACACAAUUGACCAUACUAUCUUAAUACAGAGCAGGUGAGACUACUGUAAUGGCCUUCUCACCAGGCUCUCUAAACAAACUGUCAAGCAGCUGCAGCACAUCCAGAAUGCUGCUGCUCGAGUCCUGACUAAAACCAGGAAAUACGACCAUAUUAGUCCGUGGUCUCAGUCACUGCACUGGCUUCCUGUUGCUCAGAGAAUA